GCCGAGGUAGCUCAGUCGGUAGAGCAGGGGACUGAAAAUCCCCGUGUCAGUGGUUCNNUGCGUGUUGUCCUUGCAUUUCUUUCUU
rnacentral:tRNA from 1 species